UGAUGCAAUGGGUCAGGGCAUCUGGCUAUUAACCAGAAGGUUGUUGGUUCGAGCCCACCCAGGGAAG
rnacentral:tRNA from 1 species